rnacentral:lncRNA from 1 species
GAUUAGAGAGAAGAAAGAUGCCCAUGGGAAAUUUUCUGAUCUUAUUUCUAAUUAUAUUUUUGAAUGUUUUCUCUUUCACCUUAGCUAGAGCUUGGGCAACUUUUAAUUAAUGUAAGUGCACCCUUAGAGGCAACAUCAUAUUAUUAUCUCUUGUGAGUUGCAGCUGCAGCCAUGUAUUGUUCUCUGUAAUGAUAACAACGUA